rnacentral:rRNA from 1 species
AGCAGCCGCGGUAAUUCCAGCUCCAAUAGCGUAUAUUAAAGUUGUUGCAGUUAAAAAGCUCGUAGUUGAAUUUCGGGGUUCUACCGUUGGUCGGGCUUUGUCUGUACUGGCGUGUGGAAUUUCUACCUUCUGGGGAACCAUCAUGUUAUUAAUUUAACGUGGUGGGAAACCAGGACCUUUACCUUGAAAAAUUAGAGUGUUCAAAGCAGGCUUAUGUCUGAAUACAUUAGCAUGGAAUAAUAAAAUAGGACGGUGGUCCUGUUUUGUUGGUUUCUGAAUCACCGUAAUGAUUAAUAGGGAUAGUUGGGGGCAUUAGUAUUCAAUUGUCAGAGGUGAAAUUCUUGGAUUUAUUGAAGACUAACUUCUGCGAAAGCAUUUGCCAAGGAUGUUUUCAUUAAUCAAGAACGAAAGUUAGGGGAUCGAAGACGAUCAGAUACCGUCGUAGUCUUA